UACAGUAAAGACCAAAAGUUUGGACACACCUUCUCAUUCAAAGAGUUUUCUUUAUUUUUAUGACUAUGAAAAUUGUAGAUUCACACUGAAGGCAUCAAGGGCUAUUUGACCAAGAAGGAGAGUGAUGGGGUGCUGCACCAGAUGACCUGGCCUCCACAGUCACCGGACCUGAACCCAAUUCAGAUGGUUUAGGGGUGAGCUGGACCGCAGACAGAAGGCAAAAGGGCCAACAAGUGCUAAGCAUCUCUCGGGGAACUCCUUCAAGACUGUUGGAAGAGCAUUUCAGAUUUGAGGGAAAGAUUAAAAACAAGGAGGUCUGGGAAUGACUGAAGGGAACUGACAGCAGUGAGGGAAGGAAGUUAUCACCAGAAUCUCAGAGAAGGAUGUUGACAGUGCAGGUCCAGGAUGAAGAAGAGGAGGAAGAACACGUUUAACAAUUUUCUCAUAAGCUUGCCAUGUGUUACAAUAAAAACAAUGAACAUGGCUACAAUAAUAUGCUAAAUGUUAUUAAAAGAUUCCAGUUUGCAAGAAGUCUGAGUGUCUGACUCUACACUAGAGGAACUCUUUUCUGAAGAAGAUCAGGUGCUGGGAAGAAGCCUUGUUCUACAGCAAAACACUGCAAGCCUCCUGUCCUUCCCUCAGAAGAGCCUGUCUUCUGCUGCUGGGGUAAGAAACACCCUCUUCCUCUUCUCUAUCAGCUGUCCAGCACCUAACUCUGCCUCCUCAGCACUGUCUGAAAGAGUCUUCUCCACAGUCAGUAAUCACAGAUCACAGAUUCUUCUGAGAAAGUCAAUAUGCUCAUUUUCUUAAAAAACUUUGUUUUUUCGGGUGGGACAAAUAAUACAGGAGAGAUGCUAGAAAUCUCUAUAUUGUUCAUUUUUCAUAUCUUUACGCUUUAUGAAUGUUUUUCUUCUGGGAAGCUCAAAAAUGAUGGUUCUUUGGUAAUUGUUAUAUUGUUUAGUUUUAUCCUCUGAUAGUGAGCACAGAGCCCUGAUCAUGACAUGCAAGAAAAAGAAAGAAAUCAUGUCCAUGAUUUACUAAUUCGUUCCCUCUAUGUACUAAACGUGCACAAUUACUUUUACAUUUCAUUGAUUUGCUAAAUCGUAUGCACAAUUUACUAAUUCGUUCUCUUGAUGUAUAAAUAGUGUACACGUUUUAGCAAAUCGAGGGAAUGAAAUAGAAAAUCGUGCGCAUGAAUUAGCCUAAAUUUUUUCCUGCAUGUCGUGUAAUUAAAGCACAUCACCAUCAGACAUUUAUACCAGGAGCCUCAUAUA